AUUGAACGCUGGCGGCAUGCUUUACACAUGCAAGUCGAACGGUAACAGGGAGCUUGCUCCGCUGACGAGUGGCGAACGGGUGAGUAAUGCAUCGGAACGUACCCAGUCGUGGGGGAUAACGUAGCGAAAGUUACGCUAAUACCGCAUACGUCCUGAGGGAGAAAGCGGGGGACCGUAAGGCCUCGCGCGAUUGGAGCGGCCGAUGUCGGAUUAGCUAGUUGGUAGGGUAAAGGCCUACCAAGGCGACGAUCCGUAGCGGGUCUGAGAGGAUGAUCCGCCACACUGGGACUGAGACACGGCCCAGACUCCUACGGGAGGCAGCAGUGGGGAAUUUUGGACAAUGGGCGAAAGCCUGAUCCAGCCAUGCCGCGUGAGUGAAGAAGGCCUUCGGGUUGUAAGACUCUUUCAGGUGGAAGAAAACGACAUAGGUUAAU
rnacentral:rRNA from 1 species